GGGAAUCUACCGUGCCCUGCGGAAUAGCUCCGGGAAACUGGAAUUAAUACCACAUACGCCCUACGGGGGAAAGAUUUAUCGGGGUAUGAUGAGCCCGCGUUGGAUUAGCUAGUUGGUGGGGUAAAGGCCUACCAAGGCGACGAUCCAUAGCUGGUCUGAGAGGAUGAUCAGCCACAUUGGGACUGAGACACGGCCCAAACUCCUACGGGAGGCAGCAGUGGGGAAUAUUGGACAAUGGGCGCAAGCCUGAUCCAGCCAUGCCGCGUGAGUGAUGAAGGCCUUAGGGUUGUAAAGCUCUUUCACCGGUGAAGAUAAUGACGGUAACCGGAGAAGAAGCCCCGGCUAACUUCGUGCCAGCAGCCGCGGUAAUACGAAGGGGGCUAGCGUUGUUCGGAAUUACUGGGCGUAAAGCGCACGUAGGCGGAUAUUUAAGUCAGGGGUGAAAUCCCAGAGCUCAACUCUGGAACUGCCUUUGAUACUGGGUAUCUUGAGUAUGGAAGAGGUAAGUGGAAUUGCGAGU
rnacentral:rRNA from 1 species